rnacentral:lncRNA from 1 species
GGGAGGCAGCACACUGGGGUCAGGAGUGGAGAUACUUAGGCUCCCCAGAGAAAUUAGUCACAAGUCUUAUCCCUUCAUCUCCAUUUACAGCCAUUUAUUUGGGAGCAACAUACUUUAAAUGAGUGAUAAACAAAAUGUCUCCCCACAGCCCCCACCCCAGCAUGUGUUCUGAAGUUCACAGGAAGGCUUCUCCUCAUUUGCUUUGGGGCCCGCAGGCUGCCUGCUAACAGCUGGGUCUUCCCAUGAACAAAUUAGACAGUUAAUGUUCCAGGAUGAAGAGGGCUUCGGGGAACAGAAUCUGCCGUUUAUUUGACUUGCUUCAUUAGACACAGUGCCAUCAUACCAAAAUUAGAAAAAAGAAGGAACUCAGCGGAAAUCAGCUACACAAGAAGAACCUCUCAGUUCUGAGAAUUCACAUUAACCAGUGAUUAAGAAAUAUUAAAAAGGGCUGAUAGUCCACUACGUUAUCAAGUUCAAAGCCUAAGAAAUAUUGAACAUUUCCACACAUGAAUGUGGGUACUAUGUUUAAUUUGAGAAUGGCCAACUGUCCUCGAAGUCUCAAUCUCUUUGGAGCCUACCAGCUCCGAGAGAAGUUUGAGGAUGCUGCAAAACCCUCCCCUGCAAAUCCAUCUACUCCUCCCACUUCUAUCCUAAUGGGUAUAGUUCUUGGCUGUGCUGAGGAUCUGUAAGGCACCAGAUGUGAAAGUAAGGAAGAAAGAUGGAUGUGGAAGAAAGUCACUGCCCAGAGAAUAAGGAGACCUGGAUUCUAAUCUCAGCUCUGCCAUUAACUAGCUAUGAAACUAUGGCUCAAAAGGGAAUAAGAGAUCAAGGCAAGCAUGGACAUCUUGUACGUGGAAGUGCAGACCAGAACUUGUAUCACAGCCAGUCAUAUCUGGUGCUUUCCAUGCUACUUUUACAUACAUGUAUCCUUAAAUUUGAUCCUCUUCUAGUUUAGUCUAAACUCUUUACUUUGUAACUUCCAAACCUAAAAGGUGCAGCAGACAUUGACAAUCUUAAUUCAUUUGUCAGGUCAUUUGGUUUCUUGGUUUCCUAAGGGACUGUAUCCUUCCUGCCCUGCUAAUGGGGAGACUUUUUGUUUUUUGUUUUCUGUUUUCCUUAAUAAGUGAGGCCAAGUGCUGUGUGUAACUGUGGGGUGGGCAAAAUUAGGAUUCCUGAAUCACUUCACUUUUUGUUGCCUUUCUCUUGGGAGAAUGGUUACCAUUGCAGAGAAGCAUAGUUAAAAUUGCUUUUGUGUUUCAUAAACGAAUUCAUACUUAGAUGUCAUUGACCAACAACUAAAUAGUAUAUCAGAGAUGAAAGGCAUCCUAGAGAUGACCAAAUCAAGCUCUUCAUUACUCAAAGGAGAAAAAAAUCCAGAAAGUGGAUGACAUAUGUUGAACUAGUGAUGGAAGUAGAACAGGGUAGUGUAUUUUCUGCCUCUUAAUUCUUCAUUUUUUACACUAAACCAGAUAUUAGGUAUAUGACUAGGAAGAUACGUGAGGUAAGGAGCAGAGGGUUUGGCUCCAAACUCAUCAUGUAGUCAUCCUCCUCCAAGCUCUGAGAGCUUCUCUCACAUGUUAAUUCAGAGGCAGUAACAAAAGAAUUAAUGCUCCUGAAGGUUUCUCAAUUUUAUCAUCUGGAAAGUGGAGUGAACCUUUGCAGAGUCCUUCUGAAGAGGGCUGACCUUGGACUGCACUAGGUUAUAUUCAUUUGCUAUUACUCAGCAAUAAAAAGUAAAUGCAACAAUAUAAAUGAAUCUUAAAAACAUAAUAUGGAAAGAAAGCAGCCAGACACAAAAGAAUACCUCCUGUUUGGUUUCAUUACCAUAAAACCUAGAACAGACAAAUGAAUAUACUAUGAUUUUAAAAAGAUCAUUAUGAUCAGAAAGCACUUGCCUGUUACAGGAAGGAGAUGGGGAUUGACUGGAAAGGGGCAUGAGAAAACUGUAUGAAAUAUUAUAUAUGGUUUAUAUCUUGUUUGGGGGUGGAUACAUAGCUGUGUAUAAUUGUCAACAGUCAUUGAACUGAGCACUUAAAAUCUCUGCAUUUUAGUGUAUGUAAAUUAAUUUUUAAAAUUAUUUUAAAAGAAAAGUAAAAGGAUAGAAAAAGAUAUACCAUGAAAACAGCAAUCAUACAGAGUUGGGGCAGCUAUACUAAUACUAGAUAAAAUAGUCUGUAAGACAAAAACUUAUUAGAGAUGAAGAGGGACAUUUUAAGUGAUGACAAUUUAUUCAAUAAGGAAGAUGUAACAAGAAUAACAAGUAUGUAUGUACCUAAUAACAAAAUCCCAAAAUACGUAAAGCAACAACUGACAAAAUUGAAGGGAAAGAUAGACAAUUCAACAAUAAUAGUUGAGGACUGGAAUACCUCACUUCCAACAAUAAAGAGAAAAACUGGGCAGAAAACCAACUGGGAUACAGAGACUUGAAAAACAUUGUAAACCAAGUAGAAUCAACACACAUCUAUAGAAAACUCCACCCAACAACAGCAGAAAAUACAUUCUUCUGAAGUGCAUACGGAACAUUCCACAGAAAUAUAUGAUGUGCUAGGCCAUAAAAUAAGCCACAAUAGAUAAUAAAAGACUGAAAUCAUGUAAAUUAGGCUCUAUGCCCACAGAUUUAGAAAUCAAUAACUAAAAGAAAUGUGGGGAAUACACAAAUAUGUGGAAAUUAAGCAACACGUUCAUAAAUAACCAAUAGGUCAAGGGAAAAAAAUAUCACAAGGAAAAUUAGAAGAUACUUGAGAUGAAUGAAAAUAAAAAUACAGCAUACAAAAAAAACCAUGGGAGGAAGUUAAAGCAGCAUUAGAGCUAAAUUUAUAGCAAUAAAUGCUUAUUUCUUUAAAAAAUAUCUCUAAUAAUCUAACCUUUCAAUUUAUGAAACUAUAAAAGAACAAAUGAAACUGAAAGCAAGCAAAAAGGAGAAAAUAAUAAAAUUUCAGUAGAAAUAAAUGAAAUAAAAAAUAAAAUACAUAAAGCAACAGUUGGUUCUUGAACAAAAUUGACAAAUCUUUAGCGAAACUUUAGCAAAAAAGAAGGAGGACUCAAAUUACUCACAUCAGGCAAGAAAGAAGAAACUUGACUACUAACUUUACAGAUAAAAAGAAUUCAAGGGGGAUAAAACGUAAAAAAAAAAAACCUCUAUUGCUAACAAAUUAAAUAAACUAUAUGAUAUGGACAAAUCCCUAGAAAGACACAAAUUAUUGAAACUAACUCAAGAAAUAGAAAAUCUAAAUAGACCUAUAACAGGUAAAAAGAUUGAAUUAGUAAAUAAAAACUUCCCACAAAGAAAGAUUCAGGCCUAGAUGGCUUCCACUGGUAAAUUCUCCCAAAUAUUUAAAGAAGAAUUAAUACCAAUUGUUUAUAAACUCUUUUAGAAAAUAGAAGAAAGGGGAACUCAUUCUAUGAGUUCACUAUUACCCUGAUACCAAUGCCAGACAAAGGCAUGAGAAAAAGAGAACUGCACACCUUUAUGCAUCCCUAUCCUUUAUGAAUAUAGAUGCAAAACUCCAAGAUGAAUCCUGAAACAAAUAAAAAAUUGUACCACAACUAAGAAAGAUUUCUUCCAAGAAUUCAAGAUUGGUUUAACAUCUGAAAAUCAAUUUAUAUAAUAUGCCACAACAAUAAAGAAAAAAAUCACAAUUACUUCAAUAGAUGCAUAAAAUAAUGGAUAAACUCCAACACUCAUGAUUAAACAAAAAAAGAAGAAAACGCUUAAACCAGGAACAAAAAUUAACUUCCUCAAACUACCAGAAACUUACAGCUAACAUCAUACUAAAUUGUAAAGAAUCAAAUGGUCUUCUUUCACUCUCAGAUGUGAAAAUCUCCUAUGUAGAAAAUCCCAAGGUAUCGACAAAAAACAAAAAAAAAAGCUAUUAGAACUAAUAAAUGGGUUCAGCAAGUUUGCUGGAUACAAGAUCAGUAUAGAAAAAUCGAUUGCAUUUCUAUAUAUUAACAAUGAAAAACCAAAAUAAAAUUAAGAAAAUUCUAUUUAUAAAUAACAUCAAAAGGAAUAAAAUUUUUAGGAAUAGAUUUAACAAUUUAAGUAUAAAAUGUAUAUGCUAAAAACUACAAAACACUGUUGAGUGAUACUGAAGAUUAAAAUAAAUGGAAAGAUACACCAUGCUUAUGAAUUGGAGGAUUUAAUAUCGUUAAGAUGGCAAUACUUCCCAUAUUAAUGUACAAACUUAAUGCAAUUCUUAACAAAACUCUUCUGGUGUUUUUACAGAAAUUCACAAGGUGACCCUAACAUGUAUAUAAAAAUGCAAGGGAUCCAGAAUCACUAUAACAAUCUUGAAAAAGAAUAACAAAGUUGAUGGAUUCACACUUCCCAAUUCCAGAACAUACUACAAAGCGACAGUAAUCAUAAUGGUGUGGUACUGGUAUAGGGAUAAACAUAUUAAUCAACAGAAUAGAAUUAAGAGUCCAGUAAAUCCUCACAUUUAUGUUCAAUCGAUUUUCAGUAAAUAGGCAAGACAAUUCAGUGGGCAAAGAAUAAUCUUUAACAAAUAGUGCUGGACAACUGAAUAUCACAUGCAAAAGAAUGAAUUUGCACCCUGACUUCACAAUAGACACAAAUUAACUCAAAGUGUAUUAUAGAUCUAAAUGUAAGAGCUAAAUUACAAAACUCUUUUCAAAACAACUACAAAAUUCAAUCUUCAUGAUCUCGGAUUAGGGAAUGACUCUUCAAAUUAGACACCUAAAGCACAGGUGAUAAAAGAUGGCUAGGUUGGACUUCAUCAAAAUCAAAAACUUUUCUGCUUCAAGGGAUAUUUUUAAGAAAGUAAAAAGAUAACCCUACAGACUGAGAGAAAAAUUUUGAAAAUUGCAUAUUUAGUAAGAUACUUACACCCAAAAUAUAUACAGAACUCUUACAACUCAAUAAAGACAAACAGCCCAUUUUUUUCCAUGAGCAAAUGAUUUAAAUAGAAAUUUCUCCAAAGAAGACAUAUGAAUGGCCAACCAAUAAGCACGUGAAAAAUGUCAAUAUCAAUAGCUAUCAGGGAAAUGCAAAUCAAAAUCACAAAGAAACCAGGGCAGAGUGCCAGAUGCUCCGUACCUUGAAAAGGUUCAAGGAAACUUGAAAGAUCAGAUGACAUUUUUAGUGUAAUCUACAAGUCACUCUUCAAAUGACUUGAAGAUGACUACCUGAAUAUAUACAAUAAAAGUUGGAAAUAUUCAUAGAUAAUAUAAAAUUGAGACAAAAAAGGUCUAGAAAGACUGCAAUGUCAAGAUAUGUAUCAUCAAUUCCUGUACGCUACAGUUAAAUUUUGUUCUGAGUUUUCUGGUGCCAAGAAAAUAGGAAAGGGGUGGGCAAUACAGUAAGAUACAAAGAAAGCUUUUAUUUCAUGACACUUAAUUCUAAAAGAAUAAUCAGGUGAUAUGAAGCCAAUUUCUACAGAUAUGGUCUCUGUCCUCCAAGAGCUCAUAACUCAGAGAAAAAUAAAUAUGCAAAUGAUUAAAAUCAGUGAGGUAACUGCUAUGAAGGACGUAUGUACAAGCUAUACUGGAGGCAUAAGAGAGAGAGUUACCAUUCAGAUGAGGUGGACUCAUGCUCUGAUGUGGUAACAUAUGAGGUAGAUUGGGUAGGAAGGUAAGGCCAGUAGAGGGUGGGAGAACAUUCCAAGCAUCUGCAGAGAUUAAAAUUACCUAAGACGUUUGAGAAAUUGUAAGUGGUCUGAUAUGGCUGCAGUACUGGAUGUGAAGAUAAAAUUAAUGAUAGCUGAGGGUGGCAGGAAAGCUGGGAUCUUGCCAUGUAUAGCCUUAUAUGUCAUGCCAAGGACUUUGGACUUUAACCUGUAGGCAAGGGGAACCAUUGACUGGCAAGCCCUGAGUAGAGAGUCUAGGCCUUAUAAUGGGAAGUUAGUUUCCAGAGAUAACCUAAAGAAUUCCUGCCUUUAGGUUUAAUUCCAAAAGGGUAGUAAUCCACAACCUAGCACUCCAUAACAGUGAUUUAUAUUGGAAUUACUCUCCAAAUUGGAAGAUAUGGUUAAUCUGGGAUUAUAGGACGUGUAAGCUCAAAGUAAUUUCCAUUGUAACUCGUAUAGCUUUCUACUCAGCCCAUGACAUUCCUACCUGGUUCCAGUUCUUGCAAUUCAAAGAGAACAGGUCAAUGUCAGUGUUAACAUGUGGGUAUGAAAACAGCAAGUACCCGCAUAUGAAUUGGAACUGGGCUCACUGAAGAAAGCAUGUAAUUGGAGUGGGAAUAAAAGCAUCCAACUAUUAUACUUGUGUGUGUACACACACACAUUAGAUAUACUGCUACAGAUAUAGAUAGAUGCCAGGUGUGCUGGUCACUUUGCGAAUCUCAUCACACUUUACCUUCAUGACAAUCCAGAAAGGUAAGUACUAAUCCCACUUCACAGAUCAAGACUAUUCUUACUUACAGAAGUUAACAGUGCUCUCUCACUGGCUGGAUUGGCAUGGAUGCCUAUUUUUGAUAGUAUUUCUAAUCCUUACCACUGAAAGCAUUGGAAUGACACUUCAUGUAUUUUUUUCAGUAGAGAAGUAAUAGAAACUAUUCCCCUUAAAUGGCAGAUGUGAUAUCUCAAGCACAAAAGCUUGGGUGACUCACUCAAGUCAAUAACAACUGUAGGACAGGAGCAUUUCCAGUUGGCCCCGUAUUCCUUCUACUUAGUCUUUUUUGUUCUCAUGUAAAUACAAAGUCAUAAAUUUGUGGGGGUUCAUAUUGGCUUUGUUCCUUUUCCCAUCUAGUUACCACAAGAGACCUUUCACUCUCCCUAGUGACACCAUUCAACCUCUACAUAACCCUACAACAAAUACCCACUUCACUACCAUAUCACAUGGCCAGACCAGUGGUCUUUUCCUUUAAUGUUACAUAGAAUAAUAUUAUUUCUCCAUCAAUUAACUCUGAUUGGAAUCAUGAUUAUCACUAGUUUUAUUCUUCAGGCUUGAUAGAGUACCAGCUGUGUCCAACAAAUGUAACAACAGUGGCUUCCAGCCAAGUGCAACUGAGGUUUUUACAAGAAUAGAUACUUCGUGUAUUCUAAUGACAAAAGCACAUAAAUGAGGACUAAUAUUCUGUCUGUGGCAGAGAGAAAAUCCUCUUGACUUUGAAGAGGUUCAAAGGCCCACACACACAGAAAACUGAGUGCUCUGUCAUGCUAUCUGGAUCAAGGGACUCCCCCAAGGGGCCGGCAUCCCGGCCUUAGAAAGAUGUCUGGGCCCUCAUCACUGAGGCCUUUGAAACCUUGUACCAGAAACCCCCAGGGGUGCCUCUCCAGCCUGCUCCCCUGGAACUUCUCAGGUACCCAUGACACAGCCAGAUAACCAGCCAGUUGUCACCUACCAUCUAGGACAGUCUCUUACUCCUACCUGUCCAUGCAUGCUCACUAAACUUGCCCUGCAGCAGAAGUAUGAAUGACUCUUUAUUAAAAUAGACAGGAAAAACAAUAGUGUCUCAUCUCACACCUGCACUAGGAAAAAAUCCUCUGUCUUCCUCUCUCCCUUCUGGGCCCACUCCCUCCAAGUCAUCUCAGAGCUGCUGCCAGCAGCAUGUAAAAUAUGAAUCUGACUUUUUGACCCAUCUGAUUAAAAACUGAAGUUGGAGCACCUCUGGCAGCAGAUUGAAGUCCAAACCCCUUCAAAAAGUAUUCAAGGGCCUUCACAACCUGAUUUCAACAAUAUCCUGAACAGUUUUCCCAUACACUGGAGCUCUGGCCUUCCCAGGUCCUCCAGUGAUACUCAUCUUGCUCAUUUGGCCAUGGAUAAAGGAGAAAAGAGAGAGAAGUUCCCUUUCAGCACCCUAACACAUCUCUUAAUACAGCCUCUAAGUCUUUGAGUCCUCCAGGAGCCAGCAGCCAAGUCCAAACUAAAAGCAUCACAUGUUGUUUUGGAGAAAGAAGCCAGGGUGUCCACAGUAAUAUAAAUACAGAGACAGAUAGGACGAGCAGGCCCUAUGGAGAGAGGCCAAGCCUGAGAAAGUCAAAGGGCUUUGAGCUCUGAAUUAUGCUCUGUCAAAGAAAAAAAAAAGUAGAAGAUAAAAGAGAAAGAAUAAACAAACUUCUUCAUUUUUACUUUUCACAAAAAAGUCUCUUCUGGAAGCAGCAAAUAAAAUCUUCCCAACUCACUGGGUGCUGAGUAGAGUGUUAAGACACUAGCCCUUGAAGGAAGAAUGAAUAAGCAAUUCAAAGUGGGCUUUUCUGCCCUAGGCUAAAUCUGAAAUCAUCCAUUUUGCCAGCAGUAUUCUGUCUGCCAACCUACCUGCAAAGAAAGGGGCCAUUUAAAACUUCACAUCCACCCGAGAUGGCUGUUGUACAAAACACACACUCACAGGCUCCCCUCAAAGCCUAGUAAGGAAGAAGGAAGAAGGAAAAAGCAAAGGAAAUAUCUGGCAGCUCCUAGACUUUAGGAAUUCCACAAACAAAGCCAUUGCCAACAUCUAUUUGACAGGAUGUAUAGAGAGUUCAUAAAGUAAGUGUUUAUAGAAAUUCCAAAAUGUUUAAAACUAUCUCUUGAUUUUUGAAGGUCACUGUAAUCUAGUCUAUUGGAGAAUGCUAUUGUAGAGUCUUUGGCUAUUGUUACUUAUACCUGCAUAUAUGAAAUCACCACUCCUAAAAACCACGAAUUAGAAGGCUGAUUUGUUUAAAGAAAUACUGUUGUCCAUGAUGGAAGAAGGAUGCUAACUCACAGAGAGAAUGAUGCUGCCUGUGGAACAGAGUCGGAGCUGGCUUUUAUGGAACCUAUUGUCACUUUGAUUAUACACUGUCUAGGACAGGACUGAGGCCCACAUAAUACCAAGCAUACCACAAAUACAAAAAGUGGCAUAGAGGGAAAAAGAGGUCAAAUUAAACAUCAAGGUAGCUAAAAGGAAAAUUGUGUCCGCUGCUCUAAUAUCACAAUCCCAAGGAGAACUGCAGACAUUUGUCCUCGAGUUCCUCAGGUUGCCAGUAAUGAUGUUUCUGGUGAUCUGGCUCAGAAGGCUGAGCUGAUGAGUGAUCACUCAGAAAUACUGAAUCAGGCAAUGGAAAUUCUGAAUCGGUGGGCUCUGGAGAAGGAACUGAGGGCGAGGUGACUCGGGGCCGGAGGGCUAUUAUGGACUAUGGACAAGCUGAAGGCAUGGGAAGCCUGACCAGUAGAUAGAGGAAUAUGAACUUGGUGGACAGGGAAAAGCAGGGACGUCAUGAACGAAAGACCACAGACCCUCUGUUCUAGUCCAUGGGGCCAGGCUGUGCUCCACUGCCUACUCUUGGAUUCCCCAAAGAAUGCUUUAUGUCCUUAUAAUAAAUCCACCUUUCCAUGGACAAAAAUGAGUGUGUCUCUGUGUCUUCAAACCUGAGAGCUAAAACCAAAAAACAUAACUUAUGAUGCUGUAGAAGAAACUUCUACCCCUUUGUACGCAUGGAGAUGUUUCCCAAAUCUACACAAUGAUAGAAAUAACUUGCUGCGUUAAAAAGUA